GCAGUCUGCAACUCGGCUGCAUGAAGCUGGAAUCGCUAGUAAUCGCGGAUCAGAAUGCCGCGGUGAAUACGUUCCCGGGUCUUGUACACACCGCCCGUCACACCAUGGGAGUCAGCAACGCCCGAAGCCGGUGACCCAACCUUAGGGAGGGAGCCGUCGAAGGCGGGGCGGAUAACUGGGGUGAAGUCGUAACAAGGUAUC
rnacentral:rRNA from 1 species